UCAUGGACCUCGUGGGCAGGAACGUGCAUCAGCGCUGGUUCCUCCUCUUUCUGGUGGCAGCUCCUGGAUGCGUCCUGUCCCAGAUACAGCUGCAGGAGUCGGGACCAAGCCUGGUGACGCCCUCGCAGACGCUGUCCCUCACCUGCUCGGUCUCUGGAUUCUCUCUAACCAGCAAUGGUGUAAACUGGGUCCGCCAGGCCCCUGGAAAGGGGCUGGAUUGGAUUGGUGCUAUAUGGGCUAGUGGAACCACAAAGUAUAAUCCAAGUCUUCAGUCCCGAGUCAGCAUCUCCAGGGACACCUCCAAGAACCAAGUUUACCUAAAACUGAGCAACUCGGUAACUGAGGACACCGCCGUGUAUUACUGUGCAAGAGACACAGUGAGGGCAAGUCCCUGUGAGCCCAGACACAAACCUGCUAAGGGACACAGGGCAGCUGCAGGGCUAAUUUAUUUUCCUCCAACAAUCCUGCAUCAUUGCCUUGAGAUGUAUUACAAAUAA